UACGUAGGGUGCGAGCGUUAAUCGGAAUUACUGGGCGUAAAGCGUGCGCAGGCGGUCAUGCAAGACAGAUGUGAAAUCCCUGGGCUCAACCUGGGAACUGCAUAUGUGACUGUAUGGCUGGAGUGUGGCAGAGGAGGGUGGAAUUCCGCGUGUAGCAGUGAAAUGCGUAGAGAUGCGGAGGAACACCGAUGGCGAAGGCAGCCCUCUGGGCUAACACUGACGCUGAGGCACGAAAGCGUGGGGAGCAAACAGG
rnacentral:rRNA from 1 species